rnacentral:rRNA from 1 species
ACGUAGGGAGCGAGCGUUGUCCGGAAUUACUGGGCGUAAAGGGCGCGUAGGCGGGUAUUUAAGUCAGAUGUGAAAGCUCCGGGCUUAACUUGGAGAGUGCAUUUGAAACUGGAUAUCUUGAGGGCAGGAGAGGAAAGUGGAAUUCCUAGUGUGCGGGUGUAAGGCGUGUAUAUAGGGAGGAACACCAGGGGGGAGGGCGACUUUCGGGAUUUUACCGACGCUGAGGCGCGAAAGCAUGGGGAGCAAACGG